rnacentral:rRNA from 1 species
AUUGAACGCUGGCGGCAGGCCUAACACAUGCAAGUCGAACGAGUGGCGGUCGGGAGCGUAAUGCUUGGGAAUCUGGCUUAUGGAGGGGGAUAACUACGGGAAACUGUAGCUAAUACCGCGUACUAUCGGAUGAACCCAUAUGGGAUUAGCUAGUAGGUGGGGUAAAGGCUCACCUAGGCGACGAUCUCUAGCUGGUCUGAGAGGAUGAUCAGCCAAACUGGGACGGGGACACGGCCCAGACUCCUACGGGAGGCGGCAGUGGGGAAUAUUGCGCAAGGGGGGCAACCCGGACGCGGCCAUGCCGCUUGGAUAAAGAGGGCCUUGGGGUUGUAAAGUUCUUUCGGUAGCGAGGCGUUACCUACAGAAGAAGCACCGGCUAACUCCGUGCCAGCAGCCGCGGUAAUUC